rnacentral:tRNA from 1 species
GUGAGUGUAGCUCAGUUGGCAGAGCGCCAGAUUGUGGUUCUGGUGGUCGCGGGUUCGAGCCCCGUCACUCACC